GAUUAUGAGCAGAUCAGUUCUAGAUCUAGAUCUAUUACGCUUGUUGUCAAUAGUACCUUGUAGAUCUACUUAUACUAGAGUCGAAUUAGCUUGUGACCAAUUAAGCGCCUUUAGGCUUCAGGGAUCACUUACAACUAAAGACUCACUAACAGUAAAGUGGAAGGCUACCUGAUUGUGUGGCAUGUGCACUGAAAUGUCAUAUCCAUGGAAUUGUGUUUGAACUCUUCAUUUCCCGGCACCCUGAGAUCUAUGGCCAUAAUGAAUGUCUUCGAGGCUCGCAAAGACCUUCCUUUAAGGAACAGUACCAGGAAAAAGAAGAAGAGGCAGACUGAGAAGGCGAUUGGAAGACAACAUAAAAGAAUGCCAUUGUAGGAGGUUCUGACAAAAGAUAGAGAGGAAUAAAGAAGGGUGAUCAACAAAUCUUGCAUGGUGCCCCAAUGGUCCAACAGACUAAGGGAUAGGUAAAAGAUUUUCAAAAUUAUGAACAAUUGGUUGAAAUAGAGAAAGACAAUAAAGGGAAAAAAAAAUAGCUGAUGAAUAGACAGUGAUUUUGUGGACAGUACAGACUUAAAUGAUGAAACCUAAAGGCAAUGGCAAAUUGACAAUGUCAAACCUACUAAUCAAACACAAGUGAGUACCUGUAUAGCCCUAAUGCUGAAGACAUUCUUAAGGAAGCUCUGAAAAAAAAAAGGUAAAAUUUCUACUCUAUAAUAUGACCUGCACUAAACAUAAUUUAAACCAAAUUGAAAGCAGAGGAGAUAUACACAUCAUCAUUAUCUUUCCUUUGUGUUCUUCAUGGAACAUAGUGCCUCAGUAAAAACAUGCCACUCUCCACAGUCUCAUGCUAGUUUUGUAAUGGCUUCCCAGCUUUCUUCCUGUUCUCUUUGCUUCAUCUAAUACACUCUGUUCCCACAUUCCUUUUGGUCUUCUUCUGUGUCUUGUGCCCUGGGGGGUUCCACUCUAAGGCCUGCCUAGCUCUGUUGUUGGUAUCUUUUCUAAGGGUGUGACCAAUCCAUCUCCACUUUCUCUCUAAGAUCUUCACCUCUAUAUUUCUCUGUCCACCCAUCUCCAACAGUUAGGUGUUUAUACCUCUGUAUUUUCAAGAUAUUUCUUAGGAGUAUCUUGAUAAAGGUGUGUACUUUGUUGUUGUUACUUCAGUUCUCCAUGUUUCAGAACCAUACAGUAGGACUGCCUUGUCAUUAGAGUAAAAGAUUCCUAUUUUAGUCACCUGAAGCACAUACCUUGCCGCAGCGUGACAGCUUGCAUACCUCAAUGAUCUUCAGAGCUGU